rnacentral:tRNA from 2 species
CGACCGCUGCUCCGAGGACACGGUGCUCGCCGUCUGCGAGGCGGUGAAGGUCUAUCUGGACGUGCCGGGGCUGGCGUUCGUCAUCGGCUGCGACCGU